GACGUAGGGCGCGAGCGUUGUCCGGAUUUAUUGGGCGUAAAGAGCUCGUAGGCGGCUUGUCGCGUCGACUGUGAAAUCCCGCGGCUCAACUGCGGGUCUGCAGUCGAUACGGGCAGGCUAGAGUUCGGUAGGGGAGACUGGAAUUCCUGGUGUAGCGGUGAAAUGCGCAGAUAUCAGGAGGAACACCGGUGGCGAAGGCGGGUCUCUGGGCAACACUGACGCUGAGGAGCGAAAGCGUGGGGAGCGAACAGG
rnacentral:rRNA from 1 species